GGGGAUGCACCGGUUUCGACAGGGGUAUGGAACAGGGAUAAGCGAGUCGUGGAGCCGAGUCCACGCUAAAAGCGGUCGUUAAAUAUAAACGCUAAAAAUAACAACAAUAAUUUCGCACUAGCUGCUUAAUUACAGCACAGCGAGUAAGCCGUUUUUCACCUGCAGGAAGCGAGUCUUACAGGAUAUGCAGGAAACUCUUAUGUGAUUUCUCGGUAGCAUAGGAGUAUUAACGAGAUAGCUAACCGGAAGUCUGCUGAAUUGACGCUCGGAAGGCGAAUAUCAAAGAAUCAGAUACGCUCGUAGAAAGUCCUUCGGAAAUAUUUCUGGACAUGGGUUCGAGUCCCAUCAUCUCCACCA
rnacentral:tmRNA from 1 species